rnacentral:rRNA from 1 species
UGGGGAAUAUUGCACAAUGGGCGCAAGCCUGAUGCAGCCAUGCCGCGUGUGUGAAGAAGGCCUUCGGGUUGUAAAGCACUUUCAGCGAGGAGGAAGGUGGUGAGCUUAAUACGCUCAUCAAUUGACGUUACUCGCAGAAGAAGCACCGGCUAACUCCGUGCCAGCAGCCGCGGUAAUACGGAGGGUGCAAGCGUUAAUCGGAAUUACUGGGCGUAAAGCGCACGCAGGCGGUUUGUUAAGUCAGAUGUGAAAUCCCCGGGCUCAACCUGGGAACUGCAUUUGAAACUGGCAAGCUAGAGUCUCGUAGAGGGGGGUAGAAUUCCAGGUGUAGCGGUGAAAUGCGUAGAGAUCUGGAGGAAUACCGGUGGCGAAGGCGGCCCCCUGGACGAAGACUGACGCUCAGGUGCGAAAGCGUGGGGCAGCAAACAGGAUUAGAUACCCUGGUAGUCCACGCUGUAAAACGAUGUCGAUUUUGGAGGUUGUGCCCUUGAGGCGUGGCUUCCGGAGCUAACGCGUUAAAGUCGACCGCCUGGGGGAGUACGGCCGCAAGGUUAAAACUUAAAUGAAUUGACGGGG